rnacentral:rRNA from 1 species
CAAAGGGAUCGCGGGCGAUCUCCCGCGGUCCGCCCGAGGGUGGGGGUACGGCCCAUCAGGUUGUUGGCGGGGUAACGGCCCGCCAAGCCGAAGACGGGUAGGGGCGGUGAGAGCCGUGAGCCCCGAGAUGGGCACUGAGACAAGGGCCCAGGCCCUACGGGGUGCAGCAGGCGCGAAUACUCCGCAAUGCGGGCAACCGCGACGGGGCCACCCCGAGUGCCGGGCGAAGAGCCCGGCUUUUGCCCGGUGUAAGGAGCCGGGCGAAUAAGCGGGGGGUAAGUCUGGUGUCAGCCGCCGCGGUAAUACCAGCCCCGCGAGUGGUCAGGGUGAUUACUGGGCUUAAAGCGCCCGUAGCCGGCCCGGCAAGUCGCUCCUGAAAUCCCCAGGCUCAACCUGGGGGCAGGGGGCGAUACUGCCGGGCUAGGGGGCGGGAGAGGCCGCCGGUACUCCGGGGGUAGGGGCGAAAUCCUAUAAUCCCCGGAGGACCACCAGUGGCGAAAGCGGGCGGCCAGAACGCGCCCGACGGUGAGGGGCGAAAGCCGGGGGAGCAAAGGGGAUUAGAUACCCCUGUAGUCCCGGCCGUAAACGAUGCGGGCUAGCUGUCGGCCGGGCUUAGGGCCCGGCCGGUGGCGUAGGGAAACCGUUAAGCCCGCCGCCUGGGGAGUACGGCCGCAAGGCUGAAACUUAAAGGAAUUGGCGGGGGGGCACCACAAGGGGUGAAGCUUGCGGCUUAAUUGGAGUCAACGCCGGA